rnacentral:rRNA from 1 species
UUUAGCGAGAAUAGCUAUGGGGAUACACCUGGUCACAUUCCGAACCCAGAAGUUAAGUCCAUAUACGCCGAAAGUACUUAGGGGGCAGCCCCUUGGGAGGAUAGGAACUCGCUAAAC